AUCACAAAAAAUUAUUACACAUAGGAAACAAUAAACCUAACCUGCAAUAUUUUCAAAUUACAAGCGUAACAAUAAUUGAAGACCACAAAUCUGUCUCAAACGGUUAAAUCUUUUCUCCUUCUCUUUCAAUUUCCCUUUAAAAAAAUCUCCUGUAUUGAGUUUUCCUAAGCUUAUCUUUCAAUAAUUUGUUUGUUCUUUAAUUUUUUUUAACAAUGACCUAAGAAGAUCCUUUAUGGCUUGAGUUGGUUCCGAGGGGCAAACGUCCACAUUUUCAAGUUCAAACGAGGUCCAGAGCGGGAAUAAUCAAAUUUUUCGUUUUAUGUGUGCUAUAGUACAUGGAUUUUUGGUGAUAAGUGAUCCUGAUGGGUUUUUGGCUGAAAUUUUUUGUGGGCCUCCGUUAAGACCCUAUUAAUGGCGUGAAUUUGUCACGAGGGGCAAAAGUCCACAUUUUCAAGUUCAAACGAGGCUCAGAGCGGGAAUGACCAUAUUUACUGUAUAUAUUGUGAUAGUAUUUUGGUUGUUUAGUUGUCCCAUCAAAAUGAUAGUUAUUAUGCAUAUAUACUUAGUUGAUUGCAUUUUGGAAGUCACUUCCAUGUAUAAAUGAAUUUUCACCAGAAAUUUCAUUGAUGAGUGAUAAAACGGUGUCCGGAGAACCAAUAAAGUAGCUACGACAAGAGGGAGUUGCUCAGAUUGUAAGUAUUCCUCACUUUCAAUUCUAAGGCUCUUAGUUCAUGUCACAAAGAGAGCAAAAAUGUUGGAGCGCCUUGGAAAAGGGUUAAAUAAAAUAAAAUAAAAGUAGUUACUUUAAUUAGAGCUACUUAAUUAAAGUGGUUAAUUCUAUCAGUCUAAUUCAAUUAGUAUGACUUGUUUUAAAUUUUUAAUAGGACUAGAUGUAAGAAAAUGCACUAAUUAUAAUACCAUGUUCUUUUCCCCUUGUUUUACUAUAUUAAUCAUGGUUUAAAAUGAUCGUGUGUUAUAUAUAGGAGAUGAGAGUUGAUUAGAGAAAGGAUCUAUAAAAGUGUUUUUCAUCAAAUAUUCAAUAUUAUUUAUUCUUUAAUAAACAUAGAGAAUCGAAAAUAUCUCCAAGAAUGACUUUGAACUAUAUUUAGACAACUAAUGUUUCUAUUUAGUAUUACUUUUUCAAAAUAAUGUUAUUUUUCUAUUUUAUGUUCAAAUUUUG
rnacentral:lncRNA from 1 species